rnacentral:rRNA from 1 species
CAGCCGCCGCGGGAAUACGUAGGGGGCAAGCGUUGUCCGGAAUUAUUGGGCGUAAAGCGCGCGCAGGCGGUCAUUUAAGUCUGGUGUUUAAUCCCGGGGCUCAACCCCGGAUCGCACUGGAAACUGGGUGACUUGAGUGCAGAAGAGGAGAGUGGAAUUCCACGUGUAGCGGUGAAAUGCGUAGAUAUGUGGAGGAACACCAGUGGCGAAGGCGACUCUCUGGGCUGUAACUGACGCUGAGGCGCGAAAGCGUGGGGAGCAAACAGGAUUAGAGACCCGAGUAGUCCCUGUCUCUUAUACA